rnacentral:siRNA from 1 species
AAUCACAGAAUAGAGUUGGGCAU